AGCCCAUGAUUAGGACAUCUCCUGAAUAAGGCUUUGUAUCUCUCCCAAGCAUCAUUCAAGCUCUCACCUUCACGCUGAACGAAAUUGAAGAUCUCAUCUCGAAUUGCGGAC
rfam:Triticum aestivum genome assembly, contig: Triticum_aestivum_CS42_TGACv1_scaffold_147654_2BS